AAGGCAAAUCGUUCUAUCGCUCUUAUUCUUGAGAUAGGGGAGGAAAGUCCGGGCAACACAGAGCGCCGCACUUCCUAACGGGAAGGGUUCGGAGGUAAAAAUCCGGGUACGGAAAGUGCAACAGAAAAUACACCGCCUAAGGUUUGCUUCGGCAAAAACGGUAAGGUUGAAAUGGUGAGGUAAGAGCUCACCGGCGUUGCUGGCAACAGCGCGCCUGGUAAACCCUGCGGGUUGCAAGGCCAAAUAUACCGGCAAUUCCUGUUUGCAAAAGCAGGAUAAAGCUUGCUCGGCUGAUGCCGGAGGGUAGGCUGCUAGAGGUGAAUGGUGACAUUCAUCCCAGAUAAAUGAUAGAAGUUUCUCUUUGAGGAAUACAGAACCCGGCUUACAGAUUUGCCCUAAUA
rnacentral:RNase_P_RNA from 1 species